rnacentral:rRNA from 1 species
UACGUAGGGUGCGAGCGUUAAUCGGAAUUACUGGGCGUAAAGCGCGUGUAGGCGGCUUCGCAAGUCGGGUGUGAAAUCCCACGGCUCAACCGUGGAAGUGCAUUCGAAACUGCGAGGCUAGAGUCCUGGAGAGGAAGGUGGAAUGCUUGGUGUAGAGGUGAAAUUCGUAGAUAUUGGGAAGAACACCAGUGGCGAAGGCGGCUAACUGGUCCAGUACUGACGCUGAGGUGCGAAAGCGUGGGGAGCAAACAGG